ACGGCUACCUUGUUACGACUUCACCCCAGUCACGAACCCUGCCGUGGUAAUCGCCCUCCUUGCGGUUAGGCUAACUACUUCUGGCAGAACCCGCUCCCAUGGUGUGACGGGCGGUGUGUACAAGACCCGGGAACGUAUUCACCGCGGCAAGCUGAUCCGCGAUUACUAGCGAUUCCGACUUCACGCAGUCGAGUUGCAGACUGCGAUCCGGACUACGACCGGGUUUCUGGGAUUAGCUCCCCCUCGCGGGUUGGCAGCCCUCUGUCCCGGCCAUUGUAUGACGUGUGUAGCCCUACCCAUAAGGGCCAUGAUGACCUGACGUCAUCCCCACCUUCCUCCGGUUUGUCACCGGCAGUCUCAUUAGAGUGCCCUUUCGUAGCAACUAAUGACAAGGGUUGCGCUCGUUGCGGGACUUAACCCAACAUCUCACGACACGAGCUGACGACGGCCAUGCAGCACCUGUGUCCAGGUUCUCUUUCGAGCACUCCCACAUCUCUG
rnacentral:rRNA from 1 species